rnacentral:rRNA from 1 species
GACUACAGGGGUAUCUAAGCCUGUUUGCUCCCCACGCUUUCGUGCAUGAGCGUCAGUAUUGGCCCAGAGACCUGCCUUCGCCAUCGGUAUUCCUCCUGAUAUCUACGCAUUUCACUGCUACACCAGGAAUUCUAGUCUCCUCUGCCAUACUCCAGCCUUACAGUCCCAAAUGCCAUUCCCAGGUUGAGCCCGGGGCUUUCACAUCUGGCUUAUAAAACCGCCUGCGCACGCUUUACGCCCAGUAAUUCCGAUUAACGCUCGCACCCUACGUAUUACCGCGGCUGCUGGCACGUAGUUAGCCGGUGCUUAUUCUUCCGGUACCGUCAGUAGUCAAGGUUAUUAGCCUUAACCGUUUCGUCCCGAACAAAAGAGCUUUACAACCCGAAGGCCUUCUUCACUCACGCGGAAUGGCUGGAUCAGGGUUGCCCCCAUUGUCCAAAAUUCCCCACUGCAGCCCCCCGUAGG